AAGUUUGUGUUCAGCUUUGCCAGGCUGGGACGGGUUCUUCGCCCAGAAGGAUGACGAUUUUUUGGGACAGCUUCUUGCCAUCCUUCGUCAGAGUCAUCAUCCACUUGUGCCGUGGACUCUAGCUUAACCAGCGUCAGCUGAUCUUGAGGUUGCAAAUCAAGUUUAUCAACCUUUGUUUCUUCAGGUUUUGCAUCUGAUUUGUUCUCCUUGUCACUUGAGCUCUCCCCAGUGAUACUAGUCGGACUCAGAAUUUCAUCAUCUUUCUGAUUAUCUUCAGACACAGGUCCUGGACUUUGUCCUGGUCUUCCCUUGACCUGAAUAAACAUUUUCGAUCAAAAUAUCUGUCACAACUUAGUUAAUGAGAGCAGUUCAGUAAAAACAUGAAUUAAGUCAGCAGAAAGCAAUUAUAACCUUUAGGCGAGCUUUCCUUUGAGCGUCCCUUGCUUUAAGAUCAGUAUCCGGGGUUAUAUAAUCUAGCAGGUCCGAUACACUGUUAUUGGGAAGAAAGCUUAUGAGUUACAUAAUCCGGACAAGAGUUUACGCAAGAUAUAACUUUAUACUAUUUCUAUCUUUUGGUCCCUAUGUACAGAAUGUAAACGGUGCUAAGAAUAUAUAAAAGGCAAACGUUUUAAUACCUGAGAUGGCCUUUGCUGGAAAUAGAGGCGUCUGGCUUGGGAGUACCAUUUCGUGCAGCUUCUUGCUGUUCCAGAGCUUUAGACUCAAAAUACUCGAGCCACGCAGCCGCAUCCUAAAACAAUUCUGGAGCGUAAGAAACUUUGUAAGUGAAACUAAAUGUAAUUAGUAGCUAAUUACGCACCUGUGUCCGAAGAUCCUCAGGGCCAAGUUUUGCCUGUAGAAUCUGUAGAGUUGUCUGCUCAUGCUGGACGCUCAAGGAGUAUGCUUCCAUCAGAGAAAGAGCAAUAGCAAUGGCAUGGUAGCUUGCAGCAGUCUGAAAAAAAUAUAUAACAGAAGUAGUUCAAUUCUCAAGUGCAUCGCUUAAGCUUCCACAGUAAAAUUUACCAUUUAAAUGCAAGUCCUUGCAGCAAAACCAACCUGGAUAUGAUCAGCUCCAAGUAGUCUCUGGUUACAUUUCAACGCUUCAUGAAGGUAUCUUAAAGCCACAUGGACAUUCCCCAAACCUUCUUCCAUCAUCGCUACAUUAAUAUAAGUGGCAGCAGUAUUUGGAUGUGACGGUCCACAUGUUAGAUGCAGAAGGUACAAUGCACGGUUGACAUAUCUACAACAAUAAUAACAUGUUAGCAGCUCGAAACAACUAAUUUUUAGGCUUUGGCUUUCGGAAACGCAGAGAGCAUACUUUAAAGCUAAUUCUGUGUGCUGGAGACGAUAAUAGAAGACGGCCAGGUCGCCGUAGCUUUUCAUUGUGUCUGGAUGAUCAAGUCCAAGCUCCCUUUCAUUUAUGUCGAGUGCUUUCUGCUGAUAAAUGGUAGCCUGAAAAAUCAAAACUGGUUAGUUGCAUGCAGUAGAGACAUUCUUCUGUACAGGAAGUAAAUGAACUGAGCGAUGACUUGGAGACGAUCCCAAAUUCUUUCGAAGUGAAUACCUGGUUAAAGUCCCCAGUAUGGUAAAGCACAACAGCAAGUAGACUAUAUGCUCCGGCGGUCAUUCUAUGAUAUGGGCCGCACACUGCUACAAGCUUCGUCAAUGCCUAUAGAGUUACCCCAGAAUAUCAACUCACUUAAACCGUUUAAAGUAAAUAAAUACAUUCAAUGAAGAAAGUAUCAGAGACAAGCUGAAGGGGUUAAGAAUGUCAGAGACAACCAAUGCCUAUUGAUUCUUUCAGUGCAUAAUCAUCCUUGCCCGUUAAAACAAAACUCACUUAUUCAUAUUUACAUGGGGUUAAGAAUGCCUACUCAGUAAGUCUUAUGCUAGUUCUAAAUAUAAAAUUGGUUGAUAAGGACAAAAGAUGGGCUUAGAAAAUAAAAAUUGUAUUCCAUUGAUUUCAGUUUGUUCGCAGAUGAAGGAUUAUAUAAUGAGUAGUGGCAGGAGAGGUCAUGCAAAGAAGGGAUCAGUGUAUUCAGACUAGUCAAGAGCUUCAUUACAUAGUUCGUAUAUAACAAGAGGAAUGAGAAAGAGAUCAGUUAUACCUUGGUACCAUAACUGACAGCAUCCUCUAGUUUUCCUUUAUCCAAGGAAGUUUUGGAUGACUCCAACAAAGUACGUCCAUCAGCGGAUGAACAUGCAACAUGCUGCACAGAAAAGCAGUAACGUUUAGUCACUUAAUAGUUUCACUUUUCUAUUAUGGCUUAUUACUGAAAUAAGAUAGAUAAACAAUGGUACCUUAUAUACAGGAACCAUACUGAUAAUAUCCAACUUCUUGAAUGGACAUGAUGUGUCCAUCUCAUAGUCUUUAGGAACAAGCUCCAGUCCAACCUAGUGAAACAACAUAUGAAAAAGAGAAUCUAAGGUUAGAAUGUCACAAUUGGAUGAAAAAAAAAAAACAGAUUGACAGUCCCAAACCUUGUGUGACAGUCCCCUAAGAAUGGAGAAUUUUCUCAAUUCCUGGCAACCUUCAUGCUUCCAAUCCCACCCAUAUCUCUUGGAAAUGAAAGUUUCUACCCAGGUCCACUUUAUCUUUUCGUCGUAUUCGCUCUCAGUGUCAGACGGUGUUCCCAAUAGGACAUUUAAGCAUGUUGCUAUUGAGAUGGCUAGAUCAGCAGCGUUUUCAACAGCUGCUACAACAGCCUGCAGUAUAUGCUUGUAUGCUCGAACAAUCAUUUCAUGGAUACAAAGGGAUUGCACAUGAGGGAGCUUGUCAGCCAGCUCGACCUAAGAUGAAAGAAGAAAAGAGUGACUACUAAAGAAACGGGCCACUUUGCUUGUCUAAGCAUAUUCCUCCAAUUUGAAGCAAAGGUACCAAAAACUAUAAUUGAAAUGGUUACCACUCUCCCCAAGGAAUGCAUCUGUAAGCCUCUGGUGUGCAUAAAGUCAGUCAGAGUUCUCCCAUCGACGGGUGAGAGUUCAAGAGAUCCAAAGUCUGCCACCUGCAAUGUAUCAAUUCGAAGUUUAUGAGGAGCUGAGGAUUAUUACUAUAGAGGGAAAAAAAGUCCAAGGAACUGACCAGUUUCGGAAGAGCGGUGUCAGUGUAGUAUUUGCGGGACAUCUCAAUCAGCUCUCUUGGUGACUGCAGGACAAGUUCAUGGAGAGAGAGUACACAAGGUAAGAUUCAUAAAAGCCAACUAGGUAAGUAGACGUCGUCUCUUAUUACUAUAUAAUAAUGUUAUCAGCUGGUGAAACAAACAAACCUUGAGAUGAAAACCAGUUUCUGAUUCUUUAAGACGCUGAUAUGCAGCUUCUGUCACUAAUUCUUUCCACAUCUUUUCCAUCUCCUCAUUUUGUUUCUCGAGUUCCUUCUGAUCCUCAGUUUCUGAUUUAUUGUCAUUGUCAACGGUAUUAGCAAGGGCAUCCUUGCCCUGUUCAGACUUGUUAGCUUUCACAUCAAUCUUCUUUUUAAUCUCCUUUAGAAGUCCACCUUGCUUUCCAAGACCCUUAACAGGUGGUUCAGGCUUAGCAUCUUCAGUGUUCUUAGAAUCAGUUUUGUUUGAAGCUUGAUUUUGCAGAUGUUGCACCCAACAAGCUCCUAAUUCCCACCUUAUAGGCUUGGUAUUCCUUGAGGGCUCAGCUUCCAAUUUCUGCAGACUGUCCUCAAAUACUUUCCUCACAAGGGACUUAACCACACGUAUUUGUUCUGAGUCUGCAUUUGGUGAUCUCUGAGCUAUGCUGGAAGGAGUUGACGACUUGUGUAACAGAGUCCUCAAGCUGAAAUGAAUAUUCAGAAAACGAUUGCUAAAUACCAUAUAUUUCCCAAUUCACAUAUAGUAUGCCAAAAUGUCAAUUAUGCCAAGAGAAAUGCAAAUAUGAGAUGCCUUUGUUGCUCGAAACUUUACACAACCAUGAGGAAUUAGUAAGACUAACGCAUAUACAACACAAGAUGAUUUUUACCUAUUUACAUUCAGUGCAUUUGCACCUCCAUCUGAUUGGUCUUCAAUGUCUAUAUCCAGUGGGAGACUGCCCACAUCCAAGUUAAAUUCAGCAGCAACCUUCACAAUAGCUGUGAAACCACAAUGUCUGACAACCACCACACCCAAGGUCGAUGUAUCCUGUAUGAUUGAAUAAAUCUCAGUAACAAAUCCAGCAAGAGGAAACUAAGAAAAUUAGCACAAGCUAUAACAAAAUUACAUGAACCGUCGCACUCUCAUCAGCAGUGAUCCCUUUAAGCAAAUUUCUCUGAGCAAGUUCUUCCUGAGAGAUCUCUAGAACCCGAGUCCCAUCACUCUUUCGGUCUAGCUUGGAACUGGCAUCAGGGUCAUCUCUAGCAGGAAAGAUUAGCGCAUAGGUCAAUAAUGAUGGUGAAGAUUAUGAAGAAACAGAGCAAAGACACAUAAGAAAGUAACAAACCCAUUCUCCAGGGCAGAGAGCGCGGUAGUACUUGGCGAACCUCUCGCAAUCAACAGAGUCCUCACCCUUUGCAGUUGUGCACCUACAAAGAUGGUUUUUGUUUUUUAAACGUUAGAAUAGAUUGAAGAGCCACUAAGUAACUCAAUCAAGCAAGAGUACAUGUUGAAACUAGAAUAAGAGUUCCACCUGUGGAACUCAAUGUAACGGGUGAAGCAGUGUCUUGUCUGGUUUGUUGUAGGGAAGCGGAAAUCAGCAGGAGCAGUUUUCAGAUCAAUCUGACACAAAUAGAAAUAACAAAAACAAGUAAGACACCGAGACACACUUCCUAGUGACUGACAAAGAGGAAAACGAUAACUUCAUUUUUUUCUUUCUCUUCAGCAUAUUCUAUUGCAAUAAGAUAUAUAUUUCUUCUCAAUUAAAAAAACGUCUUCACAAUUCAAAGCUUUCAUCUCUCUUUGCCUUUUGAUUCUUAAAUCUAACUCCCGACCAUAUUGAACACACCACACGCACGCAACCAAACCAAGUAGCUAAGCUAGCUUCCAUCAAAAUAGAAUUACAUACAAAGAAUCUAAACGAUACGUAGUGACCAAAUCAGAUCUUGAAUCGAGGUCGAAUUUUCAAAACCAGAAUUUAGAUAUAUUUUUUUCCACAAUCUCCGGCGGGAAACAAAGCUAAUAUCAUUUUUUUUAUGUUGAAUAAAUAUGAAAAGAAGAACGAUUACCUCAUCCUCCAUGGCUGAUUCUGAAGAGGAACGAUGAGAAGGUUUGGUUGGUUAGGAGAAAGAGGAGACGGAGUCUAUUGAAAAUGAAUGAAGUUUGAAGAUGGCCACCAUUCUCUCCGGUGACGACUUGGAGAAGCCAAAAGGCCGCGUCCAGUGUUGGGCUUCCAUAAAUUAAUGGGCCUAAUUGUUUUUGUUGGUUCAAGUUUUUAACCAUCCGAUGGGUUAAAGUCGGUUUAGUUUAGCCGAUUUCAUUUUGGUUGUUGGACCUCCUCUUCCAGUCAAGAGAGUUGAGCAGAGAGCAUCUCUGACUGCGACUCUGCUUCCUCGUUGAAUCCUCAAACUCCCACAAUACAAUAGAUAUAAUCAGGGUGUUCGCCUUUUAGGAGCCCAUGAGUUAUCGAGUUCACAACACUGAACACUAUUCAGUGUAAAUCAAAACACAUAGCAAAACAAAAGGACAAAAUGACUUUAUUCGGAGGCUCCUCAACGAUUCAACACUUUUUAGUUUUCAGCUAUGGAAACCAAAAAGAAAAAAAAACUGAAAGCAAGAGUAAUGUUGUUAAAGCAUGAGGUACUGAGUCUUGGUCCUGCGCUGCAACACAAAAUAUCCAAAUGUAGAAAUGCUUCAAACCUCAUCCAUGGAGCCAAGUUUCUCUCCAUUCCUUUUAGCCUCAAUGUUAAAACUUCAAUGACAGAAAAAUUGCUUCUUCAAUUUGUGACUUCAAUUUCAUUGUCGCUGUAAUCUCCCCAGCACUUGCCUCCUUGUCCUUUCCCAUUAGAUAUCUCUUGUGCUGUGGUUUUCUCUUCACCUUCUGUCGAGUGUCCAUUUUCAGGUGUUUCUUGUGCAAUGACUUCUUCAUCCUCUGCACCUUUCUUCUCCUUGUUGCUCUCUUCUUCACCUCCACUCUUCUCCUCAGCCAUUUCAGUACCAGGUAAUCCCUCCAAAGCCACUGGUGUAUGCCCAUUCUGAGGCUGUACAGGUAUGUUACACGGAUAUGCACCUUCUGCUACUGGCGACAACGGGUACCCAUUCUGUGUUAUUUCCGUCCCAUUUGGUGAUGCCAAAUAUCCGUUUGGUGACACUGGAUAACCAUUAGAAACCCAUGGUUGACUCGGUAUGAACUCAGCCGCGUGAGGGUUCAUUAUCCUUGGGCCAAUGAAUUGAUUAGCAUCGCCAUUGGACUCAGCGAUAAUGGGGAAGCUUGGUUUGUUGCGAGGAACCCUGUUUCCAGAUCGGUUGUAACCACCACCUGAGAGCCUUGGUCCAUAGGGAACUCGAGCUGUUACAGACUGAUGAGGAGUUGACCUCCGGACAUGGUUUACAGGAAGCAUUGGCGGUAUGUUCAAUGGGGAGGGAAGGAUUCCCACGUGGUCGUUGAAUCCUGGAACUGCUAUCGACCCAAAAAUUGGAAUGGUCGUUGGGGUAUAGGGCGGUGCCGAAGCAGAGAGCUUCUUGCUCAUCUCCUUUUGUGCCUCGCAUGCUUCUUGCUUUUCUCCAUCUGCAACUACUGAUGUCUUUGGGCUUGAGUCUCCAUUGGGCAGAUCUUCCGUUUCACCAUCUACUGCUUUCAGUUCAGUACCAGAGACAUCCUUAUGUUGCUUCACUCCAUUUGAGUCCUCAGCCGUUUGUACACUUUCUGAUUUUCCUUGACUUGCAUCUGAAACAGCUGUCUCUGUUGGAGAUCCUUCUGCUGCUGCCUUUUCAGCCUUGAUAUCCUCUGGUGAACUCAUCGACUCUGAUCCACCAACAGCCACCCCUCCUUGUUCAUUGCUAUCAGCAUUUUUUGCUUCAGUUUCUGUAGUCACAUGCUUAUUCUCACUAACAACAUCCUCACCGUUAACUUUUUCAGGACCAUCUACUGCGACUUUUGCUGCAUCCAAAGUCUCUGGAGCAGUCGUUUCUUCUGGCAACUGCUCCGCAACUAUUUUCACAAUUGUUCCAGGGGGUGCCAGUGCAACUUCCUUAUAGGAAAACAGUUUUCCAGCUUGGGAAGUCACAGGACUCACCAUCAGAGUUGGCUUGUUGAUCUGUUCGGUGCAAGGUGAGCUUACCAGGGCUGAUUUACUGUUAACUGGCUUUUCUACCACUACACUGGAACUGUUUUGCUUUCUGUUCAAACUUGAGCUCUUCAAAAGCUUCUUCGCGUGCUGGGAAGUAGAACCACCAGCAGAAAUUGUAAGCUCAUUUGAAUUAGUCCUUGGGGAUGCGAAGUUAGUGGAUUUUCCUCUGCUUUUUGUUGUCUGCUGGGUCACGUUCAUGAAGUUUGUGUUCAGCUUUGCCAGGCUGGGACGGGUUCUUCGCCCAGAAGGAUGACGAUUUUUUGGGACAGCUUCUUGCCAUCCUUCGUCAGAGUCAUCAUCCACUUGUGCCGUGGACUCUAGCUUAACCAGCGUCAGCUGAUCUUGAGGUUGCAAAUCAAGUUUAUCAACCUUUGUUUCUUCAGGUUUUGCAUCUGAUUUGUUCUCCUUGUCACUUGAGCUCUCCCCAGUGAUACUAGUCGGACUCAGAAUUUCAUCAUCUUUCUGAUUAUCUUCAGACACAGGUCCUGGACUUUGUCCUGGUCUUCCCUUGACCUGAAUAAACAUUUUCGAUCAAAAUAUCU
rnacentral:lncRNA from 1 species